GACGAACGCUGGCGGCGUGCCUAAUACAUGCAAGUUGAGCGCUGAAGGCUGGUACUUGUACCAACUGGAUGAGCAGCGAACGGGUGAGUAACGCGUGGGGAAUCUGCCUUUGAGCGGGGGACAACAUUUGGAAACGAAUGCUAAUACCGCAUAAAAACUUUAAACACAAGUUUUAAGUUUGAAAGAUGCAAUUGCAUCACUCAAAGAUGAUCCCGCGUUGUAUUAGUUAGUUGGUGAGGUAAAGGCUCAUCAAGGCGAUGAUACAUAGCCGACCUGAGAGGGUGGGCGGCCACAUUGGGACUGAGACACGGCCCAAACUCCUACGGGAGGCAGCAGUAGGGAAACGUCGGCAAUGGACGAAAGUCUGACCGAGCAACGCCGCGUGAGUGAAGAGGGUUUUCGGAUCGUAAAACUCGGUUGGUAGGGAAGAACGUUGGUGAGAGUGGAAAGCUCAUCGAGUGACGGUAACUACUCAGAAAGGGACGGCUAACUACGUG
rnacentral:rRNA from 1 species